UUCUUAUUUUUGCGGCAAAAUUGAAUAGAAAAUACUAUACCAUUUGCCAACAUGGUUACAGUAUGACUAAAAAUUGGCAAAAUAUGUUAGUUUUCUCGGGAGACAAACCUUCCGCAACGAACAGUGAGCAGACUUGAAUACACUCAUCUGGAGCAAACAAAUUAACGUAGAGACAAGGUGGCUAAACAAUUAAAUUGUUGUUCGGUGAGAUAGAUCAGUGUCGUUUGUGCAUCCUCCCAAGGUAGUAACUGGUCCCUCCACAUGGAUUUUAGCGCUCUUUUUAAACUCAUGGUUGUCCUCCUCGGCGCCAUUGCUCUGACGUCAGCAAACCCUUGUGGUAAAAAACGCUUCAGGGGCGGUUAUCGAGGCGGUUAUGGCGGCGGCGGCGUCAUCGGAGGACGCGGCUAUGGCGGCGGUUGCUGAUCAUCAUCUAGGAGAAUUUUUCUAACUGGCUGAACCGUUUCAAUUGAAGAGUGUAAUAUUGACAUGCAGAGUCAACAUUCGGAUUUACAGUGAAAGAAGUUUCAUGCGAGGAAUUUGGAAUCUUGUUAGAAUAAACCUCUUGAAUAAAGAUCAUCGCAAUUAUGUUAA